rnacentral:rRNA from 1 species
AUUGAACGCUGGCGGCAUGCCUUACACAUGCAAGCGAACGGCAGCACGGGGGCAACCCUGGUGGCGAGUGGCGAACGGGUGAGUAAUACAUCGGAACGUGUCCUCUUGUGGGGGAUAACCAGUCGAAAGAUUGGCUAAUACCGCAUGAGAUCGCAAGAUGAAAGCGGGGGACCGCAAGGCCUCGCGCGAGAGGAGCGGCCGAUGUCGGAUUAGCUAGNGGUGGGGUAAAAGCCUACCAAGGCGACGAUCCGUAGCUGGUCUGAGA